rnacentral:rRNA from 1 species
CCUACGGGGGGCAGCAGUGGGGAAUAUUGGACAAUGGGCGAAAGCCUGAUCCAGCCAUGCCGCGUGUGUGAAGAAGGCCUUCGGGUUGUAAAGCACUUUCAGUGGGGAAGAAAGCCUUGGGGCUAAUACCCUCGAGGAAGGACAUCACCCACAGAAGAAGCACCGGCUAACUCCGUGCCAGCAGCCGCGGUAAUACGGAGGGUGCGAGCGUUAAUCGGAAUUACUGGGCGUAAAGCGCGCGUAGGCGGUCUGAUAAGCCGGUUGUGAAAGCCCCGGGCUCAACCUGGGAACGGCAUCCGGAACUGUCAGGCUAGAGUGCAGGAGAGGAAGGUAGAAUUCCCGGUGUAGCGGUGAAAUGCGUAGAGAUCGGGAGGAAUACCAGUGGCGAAGGCGGCCUUCUGGACUGACACUGACGCUGAGGUGCGAAAGCGUGGGUAGCAAACAGGUUUAGAUACCCGGGUAGUC